GCGCGCUGAUGAACGCAUCGAGUCCGUCUGUUCAGUAGUACCACAGUACAAUGACUCCGUAAACAAACAUAUCUGCCGUGUAUUCACAAGUCCGCGUGCUUAUAUGUGUGUAUGAUGGCGUGGGGAGUGUGCAGCAGGGCUCUGGUGUGGAUUAUAACUGCGAUCAUAUGCUGGAGUCACUGCAGCCUGAUGGGCUUUUGCGGCAGCAGUACGGUGUCUGUACCAGAGAGCCUGCUCUUUGUGUCCACACUGGACGGAAACCUUUACGCGGUCAGCAAGAGAUCCGGAACAAUCAAAUGGACCUUAAAAGAAGAUCCUGUUUUGCAAGUCCCAACGCAUGUGUCAGAGCCUGCAUUUCUCCCAGACCCCAAUGAUGGCAGUUUGUACUCUCUCGGAGGGAAAAAUAAUGAGGGUUUGACGAAACUGCCGUUCACCAUUCCUGAGCUGGUCCAGGCAUCUCCCUGUCGCAGUUCUGAUGGCAUCUUAUACACGGGUAAGAAGCAAGACUUGUGGUAUGUUGUGGAUCUGCUGACUGGUGAGAAGCAGCAGACACUGACCUCAUCCUAUGCUGAGAUGUUAUGUCCAUCUUCAUCUUUGCUCUACCUCGGCCGCACUGAAUACACAAUCACUAUGUAUGACACCAAGAGCAGAGAGCUGCGCUGGAACGCUACUUAUUCUGACUACGCUUUCACCCUUCCAGACGACGACACCAAACACAAUAUGGCCCACUUUGUGUCCAACGGUGACGGCCUAGUGGUGACAGUGGAGAGUGAGUCCGGAGACGUGCAGUGGGUUCAGAACUACAACUCCCCUGUGGUGGCGAUCUACAUCUGGCAGCGCGAGGGACUGCGCAAAGUCCCUCACACCAAUGUUGCUAUGGAAACGUUGCGUUACAUCACAUUCAUGUCAGGAGAGGUGGGCCGCAUUACACAGUGGAAGUAUCCAUUUCCUCAGGAGAAGAAAACCAAAGAUAAACUGAUGUCCACAUUGUAUGUAGGGAAACACUCCUCUGGCCUGUAUGCGUCUUCCUCCCUGGUGCAUGAUGGAGUGACUGUUGUGCCUCGUGGCAGGACGUUUCCCAUGCUGGAGGGCCCCAGUAACCAGGAGUCAAGCAUGGAAGAUGAGCAGGAGUGUGUGAUCACUCCCAGUACCACAGUGAAGUUCAGUGCAGCACUGAAAGAGAGAAACCGCUUCAACUUCAUGAGGAAUUCACUGCUGCUGAUAGGUCACCACGAGACACCGCCUGAUGCUCAUAAUAAAAUUCUGGAGAAAUUUCCAGAGAGCAUCCCUCGCCAGCAUAUCAAUGUCAUUCCCCCUGUAACAGAGAAGACUAUUGAAGAGAAAGUAAAUGAGAGUGGAAUGGAAGACAGCAGUCCUCUGCCUCCACCCGUGUCAUCCCUGCAGGAGAAACCCAGCCGCAUCCCACGUGUGGAGACUCCAGUGGACUCCAUGCUGAAGGACAUGGCCACCAUCAUCUUCUGCACUUUCCUUCUGGCUGGCUGGGUGGCCUUCAUCAUCAACUACCCCAAGAGUGUCCACAAGCAGCAGCAAUUGCAACACCAGCUAUUUCAGCAGCAGAUGGAGGAAAAGUUGGAGCUCCUGCAGCGACAGCAGCUCAUUUUCCAGCCACCCACUGAUCUGCCUCCUGACACUGACUUCCUAGAGGCAGCCCAUACCCGCUCUGAGAGCUCCACCCACAGCAGUCCCAACAUCACCCCACGAGCAUCCAACCAUUCCAACAUGUCCCAGUCUGAAAUGGGUCAUUCGGCUAAUGAGCACGAGGAUGCUGAGGAUGAAUCCAAUAUUGUCAGAAUUGGAAACAUCACAUUCAACCCCAGAGAUGUACUUGGACAUGGUGCUGAGGGAACUAUUGUGUACAGGGGUCAGUUUGAUAACCGUCCAGUGGCUGUGAAGAGGAUUCUCCCAGAAUGCUUCAGCUUUGCCGACCGUGAGGUUCAGCUGCUGCGUGAGUCAGACGAGCAUCCAAAUGUGAUUCGUUAUUUCUGCACAGAGAGAGACCGUCAGUUUCAGUACAUUGCCAUAGAGUUGUGUAGCUCCACACUACAAGAGUAUGUGGAACGAAAGGAUUUUAACCGCCACGGUUUGGAGCCAGUGACACUGCUAGAGCAAACCAUGUCUGGACUGGCAGAUUUACAUUCUCUUAAUAUAGUCCACAGAGAUCUGAAGCCACACAACAUCCUGGUGUCGAUGCCGAACACACAUGGGCGUGUGAAGGCCAUGAUCUCAGACUUCGGCCUGUGCAAGAAACUGGCAGUGGGCAGACACAGCUUCAGCAGGAAGUCUGGGGUCCCGGGCACCGAGGGCUGGAUUGCUCCAGAAGUGCUCAGUGAGGAUGCAAAGCAUAACCCUACCUGCAUGGUAGACAUCUUCUCUGCAGGCUGUGUGUUUUACUAUGUGGUAUCUGAAGGCCACCACCCCUUUGGAAAAUCCUUGCAGCGGCAAGCAAACAUUCUGCUGGGUGCCUACUCGCUGGACCACUUAGACCUUAACAGACACGAGGAUAUUGUGCCCCGAAACCUGAUCGAGCAGAUGUUGAGUAUGGAGCCAGAGAAGAGACCCUCAGCCGACAGAGUGCUAAAACAUCCCUUCUUCUGGAGUCUGGAAAAACAACUGCAGUUCUUCCAGGAUGUGAGCGAUAGAAUUGAGAAGGAACCGUUAGGUGGACCAAUCGUGAGACAGCUGGAGAGAGGAGGACGGGUGGUGGUCAGAGGUGAUUGGAGGGAUCAUAUUACAGUGCCUCUACAGACCGAUCUUCGCAAAUUUCGUUCAUACAAAGGCGGAUCGGUCAGAGAUCUUUUACGUGCCAUGAGAAACAAGAAACACCAUUACCGAGAGUUACCUGAUGAAGUCCAGGAAACACUAGGAUCCAUUCCAGAUGAAUUUGUCUCCUACUUUACCUCCCGUUUCCCUCUUCUUCUGCAGCACACACAUUUGGCCAUGCGUUUCUGUGCCGUGGAGCGACCUUUCCUGCCUUACUACCACGCUUCUGAACUGCUCACACACCACACAGUAGCACAGUGUGUGCCACAGACUCCCCCCACACAGCAUAGCAGUCCAUCAGUGCCCUCAGGCCUGUCGUCGUCCUGUCAGACAUCAGCAGCUCCACAUGAACUGUCAGACACUCUGUCUGAAAUGGCAGUUUUACCCGAGCUCACCACAGAGCACAUACAGACAGUCCCAGUGCCACCCACACUGUCCACACAGGAGACUGGAGCUCCUUUGUGCCCAGUGGAUGGACCCUUGACGGAUGGACCCUUUUCGGAGACAUUCCAGGGAUGAGCCACAUCUCUCUGUGUGGAUGCAGUCUGGGCCUGCAGUGUCCAGGCUGUGUCACCGCAGAGGCUGCCAUCUCAUUUUUAGUGCCUUACAUGCUCAUUUUAGACAACAGCUCUUGUUUGAGCAACUUACAGAUUCCUGGAGAAGAUGAUUUGGAGGAUGCUGAAGAAGAUGGCUUGGGUUGUCAGAGGUGUGCUCACAAAACUCUGCAGUCAUUCCUUCCAUUUGUCAAGUAUAAUGUGAUUGUAAGGCGAGGGAUUUUUGUUGGACACUUGAAGUGAACACAAGAAAUUCUACUGUGCAAUGUUGAGUCGUGCUUGGUGAGAGAGAUCAUGCUAUUGAAUUUAUAUUUUUGUACAUAUUUUGAUAAUUGAUAAUUGGUUGAAGUGGCCAUUGUGCCUUUUUAAAUGACACUGUGCUGUGUGACUUAGUCCUGAGGAAAAGCUAAUGCUUGUGGUUUUCGCUUUUUGUCUUUGCUGCUGAAAGCUGUUAAAGGACUAGAUCUACCAAAAAUGAAGAGAGGUAUCAUUUAGUCAUCCAUACAUGUACGACUUUCCGUGGAACAGCAGAAUGUUCACUGUUCUCUUCUGUACAGUGACCACCUGCUGUGAAGCCCCAAAAUGACUGAAAAGCAUCAUAAAAGUAGUCAACUUUUGUGCUGAAUUUUCCAAAGAAAUACAUCCAAAUUUAAGUUAUUAUUCACUGAUAAUCUCCACCUGCACUGCAUUUCUUGAUUCUCGUUCAGAGUGUGAAGACGUCACACCAGAUUUGACAUCCGUGAAGCCAAAGAGCAUUGGUUCUCACAUAUCAUAUGUGGAAGCACAAAUCACAUUUGUCGUCUCGUAUGGCUACAGAAGGCUAUACAGCACACAACUACUAUGGACUACUUCUGUGAUAAUACUGGUUUGAAACAAGAAGUAAAUAAUGACAGAAAUAAAUUUUUGGGUGAACUGUUCCUUCAAAGUCUCUAACAUGGAACCAACUAUACAGUGCUUUCAAAAGUUCUGGAUAUACUUUCAUGACAAACUUCCUGUAUUGUGCUCAUAAUUUCAGUCAUGCAAUUUUAUAUUUUGGCAUAUUUCAGCAAAACAUGGUAAAUUGUAUGAAUUAAUUCCCUUGGAUUCUGGAUAGUGUGGUUUAGUUAUAGCUUUCAGGUGAUUCUCUUAAAUGGUUCUUAUAUAGGGAAAUAAUUAAACUAUUUUCUAGGUUUUAAUGGAUCCCUGCUUCAAAAACUAUGGGCUGUUGUCAGGAAAUACUAGGAAAAAUGUCUCUCCUGGGCCUGAUGCUGGUCAUAUGUUCAGACCAUAUACAGCAUUGUAAUCUAAAAUGCAUGAAAUUUUGAACUGAAAUAUUCCAAAUGGAGCUUUUAUAAUGUUACAUGUUUUUAAUGUUCCUUAUAUAUUUUUAAAUGGCACAUUUUGAGGGGAAAAUUAUUAAAUGCAGUAAUGCCUUUUUACAUGUAGUGUUAAUAAAAGCUGCUAUUGUGCAAUGCCAAGCACGUUUUUACCAGCCUUUGGACCAGAUAUGAGUGCAAAUAGCCAACCUUCUUGGUAAAGCCUGUUUUCGCUAAUGUCAAGUCAAUGCUCCAAUUGCUCACCAUUGCUCAAAUAUUUUAUAUAUAACAUGUUACUUCUAUUUAAUUUUUGUUAGAAUAGCAUCUAUCUCUACUUGCACUUAGUAUAAACAUUUUUAUUUAUACAUGUCAUCAUGAUGCAAACAGUAACUACUAACUACCACCGUUUACAUGUACUUUUUUUAACAGUUUGUGUAUAAUUUAGGAAAACCAGUAAGCAUACACCAUUGCAGCUCACUGUAAAGUAAAACAGAAUGUAAACAGGUAGAAUGACGAUUAGCACAAAACACAGAACCUGGUUUUUAAACUGUUCCGAUGCAAUGGGACUACAGAAAACUUUAUUUUUAACUCUUAACUGUGCAUUUUCAUUUGAGAGGUUAUUAAAGUUUCUCAGCACCAUUAUUUAGGUGCGCUUUAAUUCAUAAUUUAUCAUAUUUUAGAUGUUGUAACAGCUGAAAUCACUGAUGAUGACCAAUACAUAUUCAGUCUGAUACAUACAGAAGUAAUGCAUCAUAUUUUGGUGUGAUGGAAGACAAUAACAUUAAUUCACUUAACCCAUUUAAACCCAAAUAUUUCCUAGACAUGAAAAUAUCCAAAUAAUGUAUCAUUAGU